AAGCCACAACUUGGAUGUAUGCCCUUGUGUGGGAAGAGGUUGCUCAUGUAUCUUGUGUUUUUAUGUGUUCGUUUUAGUAGGAAAUCGAGCAUGCCUUAGUAGUAUACUUACCUACCUUCCUAAUUCCCUACAUUCCAAGAUACUUGUUUUUGUGUGAUAAGUUGGGUUUUUAACUAUGUGAUUCCAGUUAAGUGAUUUAAGAAUAAUGGAAUAUUGAGUUUGUGUUUGGAUAUCAAUAGUCAUAGAGGGAACCACCACUAAUUCAGCUCCACCCUUUUCACUGCUCUCUCCUUUCUGUGCAUCCACUGUUCCAGUGGUACGAGAGAGAGAAGAGGGAAGAAGAUGGUUCCUCCUAAUAGCAGUCGGCCACUACUCCUGCACCACAGCCCAUUCACACCAUUCUUAACAAUUCUUUCCCCAAUUUGGCCCGCAUCUAUAGAGGAGGGGACCAUCUACGGAAUCAGCCCUACCUCAAUUCCUUCAAGAGAAAGUUUUCAAUAUGUGACCGUCAUAAUUAGUUAUAUUGAAUUCAUUUUCCACUUUGUCAAUGUUUACCAUUUCUUUUCUCUGCCAAAGAAUGGUUGAAUUCUAUUGUUGCUUGUUGCUAAGAUUCCGUUGUGAUUGCUCCAAUUUGUUAGUUUAGAAUUUCUGUAAGGUUUUUGAGAAGCUCUAUUGAAUUUCCAUGUUUUUGUAUAUUUUUUCCAACAUACCUAUCAUCUACUUGCAUUGCUCUCUGUUUUAACCACAUUAGUUUAGAAUUUUGCUGAGUUUCCUGUGCAUGUUUAUUACAUGAGUUCAUUGUUAAAAAGUUUGUAUGCUCUUAUAUUAAGUUUGUGUGGUGCUAGACAUGUAACCAUUCUUUUAAUGGUCAAGUUGAACCUUGUAAAGAUAUUAUUCUUUUUACAUGGAUUUGCUAUUUUGCGCACAUCCAAUUAUGAGCAGUCCUUGAAAAGGUCAUUAUGUGUAUCAAAAUCAGUGAGUUUGUUCCCUAGUAUGCAUAUUUAUGAUUGACUGGAAUUGACAUUAUUCCAUAUUUGACCAGUAAAGAAUUGUUCAGUUGUUCCAAGGAGAGUGGUCCUAUCACAUUUUCUAUAAGCUCUGCUCUGGUGUCCGUUUCUGGUCUCCAUGGUAAGCUGAGGUUAAGAAGUGCUUCUGAACACAACUAUCUCAAUCCGAGUGAAUGUUUGCAGAUCCCAAACAUUGAUAAUAAACAAAAGUUUCAUAAUCUUAUGCUUGCUUGACGGGCUGUAGUAAGCAAGACCAGAUGCUUACAAUUUGAAACCAGAAGGUGCGAGUGGGAAGUGAUGAAGUCACCAAAUCUCCGUUACUUGAACAGGCUCUUAAUUUUAUGUAUGUGUUUGCGCAGUGUAUAAUUUGUGUAUGAGUGUUUAGUGUGUGUAUUUUGCAUAUAUAGUGUAUGUAUAUUGUGUAUAGUGUGUGGAGUUUGUUGUUUUGUGCAUAGUGUGUGCAAUGUAUAUAUUUUCUGUAUAGUGUGGCACAAUGUUUGUAUUUUGUGUCUAUGUGAGUGCUAUUAUAUGUGUGUA